AUCGCACGCCCCGCUCCCGGCGGCAAAACCCGCGUCGUCCUGCCGCGGGGAAUUACUGGCCGUCCGCUGCCCGCCCGUCUGCUGAAAAAAAAGAAAUCUGGUGCCGUCGAUUAGUAUUAGGUUUCAACGCAAGGCGUCCCUUCCUUUCCUCCCUCCCGAUCCCCCACGCGCGGCGCGCUCAGCCACCGUCCCCGUCGCCCUCCUCGCCGCGCCCGACCCGCCGCCCGUCGCGGAUUCCCCACGCGCGGCCGCCGUCCCCGUCGCCGUCCUCGCCGCCAAUGGGACACCCCUCUGCGCUCCAGCAGGCUACGUGAGAUUUGAUGCCGGGAGGUCUUGAUUUGACGGGUUCAGAUUUGUUUUCCUCCUUGUUUGCGUGUGUAGGUCGAGGCUUGCCGGCGAUGGUGCAGCUGGUGCAGUUCAGUAAGCUGCUAUCCGUCGAUGAGAUUCAGAUAAGAUGGUGCGAUUUUUCCAGAAAUGCUGUCUAUGUGCAGUAAAAUCACCAACAUGCUUAUGUUGACAACUCUAAUAUGGUAUGGAGCUUGCAUCCGAAUGGAGAGCAAUUUUCUAGAGGUCAGAAGGUUCCAAUCAGAAAAUGGGCACCUUGUAGAGGGGCGACAAGCAAGGAAAUAAUACUGCUAUUUGUUUUGCCACAGAGCUUGCUCUGAAACCUUGCAGUUUACAGGGUCUGAAUUUGAAGCAUCCCAACUUUCAUAAAUGGUGUAUGUUGCCAUCUCUGAUAUGGAGUGGAGUCUGGAUCUGAUUCGACUGGCAUGUUCAGAAAGUUCCAAUUAGAAAACGAGCACUUUGAAGAGCCGGAGCAGCGCACAGUGGCGCUGUUUGUGCUGGCACAGAGCACCCUCUGAAGCUUGCAGCUACUGAUGUUUGAAUUAUUUUUAGGAAAGAGCAUAUUGUUUGGCAUAUGAAUCAUAUAUCAGGUUGACUGUUGCAAAAUGUGCUACACUUGUGAGGGCUGCUCAGUUAGCUCAAUUUGGGAUCAGUCUCUGCGUUCUGUGCUGGCCCCUUUUGGGAAUAUCGGAAGACAAAGUUGGUACAGAAAGUCAGAUUCUGUGCUAAUCACUGUAGUUGUUCUUGUCACAGUUCGUCAAUAGAUUAAGUGUACAUACAUACUGUGAACUGUAAUUAUUUCCUUGUAUAUAUCCUCUUGAUAAAGGAACAGUAGAAGAAUUGUCAGAUGAUAAAGAGUUAUCUGUGUUACUUUUAUUGUUAGUGUGCCAAUUAAUUUUCCAUAUCUGCAACCUUUUCAGUUUUCAUGUGAUGGGCAUCAACUCCUUUAGAAAAGAGUUUUCAGCAGCCUCCUGCAUUUUCAUGGGGUCCAUUCAAGUAUUUUUGUCGUGAGUUGAAAAAUUUCAAGGAGGUGGAGCCUUCAAUGUGAUCCCUAAUUCGGUAACAAUAGGUGGCACCUUCAGAGCCUUUUUUUUAAAGAGAGUAUUAAUCAAUUGAAGCAGCACAUUGAAGAGGUGACCGUGUCUCAAGCAUCCGUGCAGCGAUGCAGUGUUACCGUGGACUUCCUCACCAGGGACCUCCCUUUAUUUCCCCCAGCCAGCAACAGCCCUCAGCUCCCUCUCAGUUUAUUUGUGGAUGUGGCCAGCGAGAUGGUUGAAGACUAUGGAGCACUUAAAUUCAGGAUAAUAGGAGCUUUUGGUUUAGUGUGAUGGUACAGCCGUACAGCCAACAAAUAAUCUAGAAAAUGCUGUCAUACUUCUUUUCGUCUGUGAUUGCCAGCUUUUUGCUAUUUUCAUGAAGACUAUGGAGCAAUUAAAUUCAGGAUAACAGAGCUUUUGGUUUUCAUGGUAA